UACGUAGGGGGCAAGCGUUGUCCGGAAUUAUUGGGCGUAAAGAGCGCGUAGGCGGUCCGGUAAGUCGGCUGUGAAAGUCAAGGGCUCAACCCUUGAAAGCCGGCCGAUACUGUCGGACUAGAGUCCGGAAGAGGCGAGUGGAAUUCCCGGUGUAGCGGUGAAAUGCGCAGAUAUCAGGAGGAACACCGGUGGCGAAGGCGGGUCUCUGGGCCGGAACUGACGCUAAGGAGCGAAAGCGUGGGGAGCGAACAGG
rnacentral:rRNA from 1 species